rnacentral:rRNA from 1 species
AGCGAACGCUGGCGGCAGGCUUAACACAUGCAAGUCGAGCGCCCCGCAAGGGGAGCGGCAGACGGGUGAGUAACGCGUGGGAAUCUACCGAGCCCUGCGGAAUAGCUCCGGGAAACUGGAAUUAAUACCGCAUACGCCCUACGGGGGAAAGAUUUAUCGGGGUUUGAUGAGCCCGCGUUGGAUUAGCUAGUUGGUGGGGUAAAGGCCUACCAAGGCGACGAUCCAUAGCUGGUCUGAGAGGAUGAUCAGCCACAUUGGGACUGAGACACGGCCCAAACUCCUACGGGAGGCAGCAGUGGGGAAUAUUGGACAAUGGGCGCAAGCCUGAUCCAGCCAUGCCGCGUGAGUGAUGAAGGCCCUAGGGUUGUAAAGCUCUUUCAACGGUGAAGAUAAUGACGGUAACCGUAGAAGAAGCCCCGGCUAACUUCGUGCCAGCAGCCGCGGUAAGAC